ACAUUCAAAAUAUGCUAAAAGAAUGAGCUAAGAAAAUAAUAAACCCCCAGCCUGAAAAGAGAAUUACAUACCUGUGUAUAUAAGGAGACACAGUGGACACCAGUAUCCCUCUCCUCAAUACUCUCUCCCCCUCAAUAAGGAAAGGGUCAAGGAUGACCUGGACUUAUACCUCAGUCUACCACUUGGUAGCCACUAUCCUACUUAAGUUACAUAACUACCAGGAACCCUCAGUUCUCCCAUAUUUAAAAAAAAAAAAGUGGAUUCUAUAAUAUCUUCAUCAUAGGUUGUCGAGAGGAUCAAACAAGAGAACCAUUGUGAAGUCUAUGAAGACCACCUUACACAUUUCUCCCUCACAUUCCUUCUGGUAAAUAGGCUUUGUGUAUGGGCUCACUCCAAGUAUAAUCCUCAGAUGCAAGAUCUACUAUCUGUUGAGCUCUUCGGGGCUUGACUUUUGCCAACAGUGGAAGGUAGCUACUCCCUAUCUCCAUGACUUUGGGUUCUGGAUCUUCAUUUCCUACAUAUGUUAUAUUUUGCCUACAUCAUCAGUGUCCUCAGUCUCAAUGGAAGAGGUCUCUAAUCUCCCUUUUGGGGGAAAUAGAUUCUUCUUGAUACCAUAUAGGAUCUAUGCACAGCCCAAAGACACACCCCUGGUGCAUCACAAUUGAGCAAAUCCUGGAAGCUUUUAAUGAAAAAUGCUGCUAAACCAUAAGAGUAACAUUGUGUAUGUUUCACCAGGCCCCAGAGAAGGAAGUUAAAAGGAGGGUAAGCAGUCUAAAGUAACUACCCAUUAUUGGGAUUCUCUGUGUUCUGUUGUGCAUGCACCCUAUCUAGCAAUUUCUCAGCAUAAUGAGAUCCUCUAGAAAAAUGGGGGCAAGGAUGCUCUAAGGCAAACAUGCAAUCUUUACCAUUGGAUGUAUUUCCCCAAUCACAUUCCUUUUGUUCACAGAAGCUAGAGAAAAACCUAGAGUAGUUUCUGUUUUCUAGCUGACCCUGACUGACCUAGAGAGGAAAAACGGAGAUAAAGAGGCCAGUUGGGAGCUAUGGCUUGUGUCUUGAGAUAGAAGGAUGGGGUUAUUAUAUUAGCAGUGAGGGUGAAGGAGAGAGAAUGACAAUCAGGAAGGAUUUUAGAAAUAGGAUAGCAGGACAUGGUCAGCAGUCUCAUACUAAACAUGAGGGAAGAAGAAGGGACAGACACAGUAAGUUCCACCUGGGGUUUGAGCGCUGCGCAGAUGUUGAGGUCACCCAGUAAUCAGAAAACCAGAGCUGACUAGUUUUGGAGGACUCUUAGUUGGUAUCUAAUAGAUAAUGAAGUAUACAGCUCUGUAAUGAAUAUUUAUAAUUUUGUAUCCCAGACCCUAUUCCUGACAGAAACAGCAGCCUCCCUAUUUACAGAUAUUGUUCUAAAUAAUCAACCUGAAUGGAAACUGAUAUGUUUGUCUGAGAUUCUGCUUGCCUGACUAAAUUAAGAGAUAGGCCCCUGAACCAAGGCAAGCCCAUCUGGAUUCUUCACCAGGACUUUCUAACCAGGUCAAGAGAGGCUCUUUAUUCCAUUUUUAUUUUUAAAAAAGUUGAGCCUAGAGAUAUGGGCAUCCAGAAAAUCAUGGAGAACCCAGCCUAAGAGAGUGGUGCCAACCUGAAAGGCAAAGCAUAACUAAUACAGUAAUGAUGUCCAUCUUGUAUGUGGUUGUGAGAGCAAAAUGAAAAAAGCCACAUGGAAAGUCUAGCACUGUGCAUGGCACCUAGCAGUUAUUCAAUAAGCUCUCCUGACUGAGGGCACAAACUGUGAGCUUUGAAUGGCAAAGAUAGGAAUGAAUGAUUUCAGCCACAGAGGAGAUGGUCUUUGGAUUGUGUUUGAAAGAUGGGUUGAAUACAGUCUGGGAGGACUGAAUUUUAGGAACUCUGUGGCUCCAGAAGCACCCAGGCAUCAGGGAGAGUGGGCAGUAAGAGCUUCCUGGAGAGAGCUGGGUGUUCACAGCACCCCCGCGCCACACACACACACACACACACACACACACACACAACCACCAUCGCAAGCAGCUUUCCUCUUCUCCACAGGAGGGGUUUGAAGAACAAGCCUGCCUGCCACACUCAGGCUGCAACCGUGACCUUGCUGGGCCCUGAGAGUGACAAGAACGAAGCCCAUAAUUAUUAACCUUGCCACUUGUUUCUGUAGUUUAUUGUGACAAGACAAUGCAAUAAGGAGGGAGGUAAUCAAAAAGCAAUUUUGUAGCAGUAAGCUUAAAGUGACAAACCUUGCUUUUCCUAAAUAAAUCACCAUUAUUCCCAUAUGGCUCAGGACUGACAACUUGGGUUUCCUUAGUAACCGAGUACUUAGCUAAACCUGUGGCCCAGUGUGAGCGGGAGCCAGCCGCAUCUGGAGAGGAGAACUAGUUGCCAAGUCUUUUCCAGAGGGCCCCCCCAUGCCUUCCAGGGGGCCCACCCGACUGGAAGGUGCAGUAGGUGCAGAAUUGCACAUUUGGCCGGCACCUCGCAUGGGGUGGUCUCAACUCCUCCUAACAAACAGCCCAAUGAGAACAAAGCAGGGAGGAUAAGGAUUCUGAACAGGGGUGAGCAAAUGGGAAGCAUCCCCCCCGCCCCCUGGAGUGACCGGCUUCACCCAAGACAUCCAACUGGAACAACCAAAAGUCCUAGGCACUGUAUUCUUAGUCCGUCAGAUGUCUUGGCUCCUCAAUAUCAUUCACUAUCUCUCCUUCCCAUGCCACAAAAUAAAGCUUGCUCCUUAAUGGUUUCCCUUGGCAAAUGAAUUAUACAAGAGACAAAAUUAAAAAUGGCAAGCAGUUACUAUCAACCCCUUUCAAGUAAAAUUCCAGAAACUCAAAAAAAAAAA